AAAGAUUAAGCCAUGCAUGUCUAAGUAUAAGCAACUAUACUGUGAAACUGCGAAUGGCUCAUUAAAUCAGUUAUCGUUUAUUUGAUAGUGCCCUUUACUACUUGGAUAACCGUGGUAAUUCUAGAGCUAAUACAUGCAUAAAGCCCCGACUCCGGGAGGGGUGUAUUUAUUAGAUAAAAAACCAAUGCCCUUCGGGGCUGCUUGGUGAAUCAUGAUAACGCAACGAAUCGCAUGGCCUUGCGCCGGCGAUGGUUCAUUCAAAUUUCUGCCCUAUCAACUUUCGAUUGUAGUUUAGUGGACUACAAUGGUUUCAACGGGUAACGGGGAAUUAGGGUUCGACUCCGGAGAGGGAGCCUGAGAAACGGCUACCACAUCCAAGGAAGGCAGCAGGCGCGCAAAUUACCCAAUCCCGACACGGGGAGGUAGUGACAAUAAAUACUGAUACAGGGCUCUUUUGGGUCUUGUAAUUGGAAUGAGUACAAUUUAAAUCCCUUAACGAGGAACAAUUGGAGGGCAAGUCUGGUGCCAGCAGCCGCGGUAAUUCCAGCUCCAAUAGCGUAUAUUAAAGUUGUUGCAGUUAAAAAGCUCGUAGUUGAACCUUGGGCCUGGCUGACCGGUCCGCCUCACCGCGUGCACUGGUUCGGCCGGGCCUUUCCUUCUGCGGAACGGCAUGCCCUUCACUGGGCGUGUUCGGGAAGCAGGACUUUUACUUUGAAAAAAUUAGAGUGUUCAAAGCAGGCCUUUGCUCGAAUACAUUAGCAUGGAAUAAUGGAAUAGGACGGCGCUCCUAUUUUGUUGGUUUCUAGGAGAGCCGUAAUGAUUAAUAGGGACAGUUGGGGGCAUCCGUAUUCAGUUGUCAGAGGUGAAAUUCUUGGAUUUACUGAAGACGAACUACUGCGAAAGCAUUUGCCAAAGAUGUUUUCAUUAAUCAGUGAACGAAAGUUAGGGGAUCGAAGACGAUCAGAUACCGUCGUAGUCUUAACCAUAAACUAUGCCGACUAGGGAUCGGGCGAUGUUAUU
rnacentral:rRNA from 1 species